rnacentral:rRNA from 1 species
NCUGGUUGAUCCUGCCAGUAGUCAUAUGCUUGUCUCAAAGAUUAAGCCAUGCAUGUGUAAGUAUGAACAAAUUCAGACUGUGAAACUGCGAAUGGCUCAUUAAAUCAGUUAUAGUUUGUUUGAUGGUAUCUACUACUCGGAUAACCGUAGUAAUUCUAGAGCUAAUACGUGCAACAAACCCCGACUUCUGGAAGGGAUGCAUUUAUUAGAUAAAUGGUCGACGCGGGCUUUGCCUAUUGCUGCAAUGAUUCAUGAUAACUCGACGGAUUGCACGGCCAUCGUGCCAGCGACGCAUCAUUCAAAUUUCUGCCCUAUUAACUUUCGAUGGUAGGAUAGUGGCCUACCAUGGUGAUGAUGGGUGACGGAGAAUUAGGGUUUGAUUCCGGAGAGGGAUCCUGAGAAAUGGCUACCACAUCUAAGGAAGGCAGCAGGCGUGCAAAUUACCCAAUCCUGACACGGGGAGGUAGUGACAAUAAAUAUCAAUACCGGGCUCUAUGAGUAUGGUAAUUGGAAUGAGAACAAUCUAAAUCCCUUAACAAGGAUCCAUUGGAGGGCAAGUCUGGUGCCAGCAACCUCGGUAAUUCUAGCUCCAAUAGUAUAUAUUUAAGUUGUUGCAGUUAAAAAUUUCGUAGUUGGACUUUGGGAUGGACCGGCCGAUCCGCCUUAGGUGUGCACCGGUCAUUUCGUCCUUUCUGCCGGCGAUGCGCUCCUGGCUUUAAUUGUCCGGGUCAUGCCUCCGGUGCUGUUACUUUGAAGAAAUUAGAGUGCUCAAAGCAAGCCUACGCUCUGUAUACAUUAGGAUGGGAUAACAUUAUAGGAUUUCGUUCUUAUUACGUUGGCCUUCAGGAUCGGAGUAAUGAUUAAUAGGGACAGUCGGGGGCAUUCAUAUUUCAUAGUCAGAGGUGAAAGUUUUGGAUUUAUGAAAGACGAACAACUACGAAAGCGUUUUCCAAGGAUGUUUUCAUUUAUCAAGAAUGAAAGUUGGGGGCUUGAAGAUGAUCAAAUACCGUCCUAGUCUCAAGAAUAAACGAUUCCUACCAGGGAUCGACGGAUGUUGCUUUUAGUACUCCGCCGGCACCUUAUGAGAAAUCAAAGUUUUUGGGUUCCGGGGGGAGUAUGGUCACAAGGCCAUGACUGAGAUGGCAUACGGGCUAGGACGUCGCUGCACAAACAGGGAUCCAACCUAGCCACACAAGCCGAACACCAUUCAGGUGCCGCACGUACACUUGCCUCGCCGAUACAUGCCGACAACAGCCCCCAACACGCGACGCGUAGACAUGUGUUGUUGCCAAUGCCAUCAUUGUAAAGCCAAGACAAGCCCCGCCAGGCACAACCGUUAUAGUGUAGAAACAACCAAGGACAGACACAACCCACAACAACCGCACGACCUUCAACAUGUACUAAACUCAGCCUCAUGUGCAUGGCACCUUGCGGCGCUACUUUCACGAGGCCUAGCCGUUCUAUGUCCAAAUGCCAUCAGCUACCACGAGUGAUGCCACCACCCGAUGUGGCCCACAACAACCGAUGGCAAUCGGCACGUACUGAGCUUAGCCCCAUGCGCAUGCACCUUGC